CUUGAGCAGAGCUGGGCUCGAGUACGUUACGCAUUCGGUUGCUUAGUAACGAGACUCAGGUAGUUCAUAGCUGCUGUAGCUAAUGCUACGAUGUUUACUGUAAAUCAUGCUGCAUUUUGGAGUUUAUAGCGCCUCAGAAUCACGUUAUAAUCCCACUUAAACUCGGACAAACUCAUUAAACUUAAAUGGGAAUCAUUUCGGUCGGGGUGCUGAAGGUAACGAGGGCGUGGCUUGUGGUGUAGAGGGGCGGGGCUGGAGGUGACCUGCUACAGACUGCAGAGAAAGAGCAGCUGGAUUUGUGCCCAAAACAGGUUCAAACUGUGCAUAACGGACAGUUAAACCUCCUCACUUUAAAGCAUAUUUAAUGAGAUGUCAGCCACACUCCUCUGAACAUCAUCAAAAUGUACUUUUCACACCUUUCAACUGGACUGUUUACACUGGAAAGAACUACUUUCCCACGGGCCAGGGUUUCUCUUAUCAGACUCAUUCACUGGUUGACUGAAGAAACUCCUCCCUCUAGAUUCAUCUAUGUGCAUGGUUUCCUAGGCGAACAACGCUGCAGUACCUGCAAAAACAAACACGAUGGAAUCCAGAGUGCUUUCUGCCCGAGGAGAUAAAGAAGCAGGUCAGAUCUCCUGUGGACUCUGCUUUUUAAACAUUCUACAGUGGAUCUUCAUAUCUCCCCGCACCGUUCUCAAAGGAGGAAAGCAGCGUUUGAAAUCUUCUGCUGUGUUUACAUUUACAUCUACUCUUUUGGCCGACGCUCCUACCCAGAGCAACUUACCAACCGAUGAACCAUUAAACUGAUAAACUAGACCAAGAAAUACUGAAAGAGUUUGUGACUCAACAAUUAAUAAAUACAUAAAUACAGUGUAAUAGCA
rnacentral:lncRNA from 1 species